CCAUUUAAUAACAUGGCGGAUAAAUCAUCAGUGGUAUGUUUCACUUCAGUAAAGAGGCAUAUACAACCACAAAUACAACCAUCCGACUGGUGCAGCUUAAGAGUUUGCAACAUCAAACGUUCGAAUCAAGGCACCACAACCGACCAACAGGGUUCACUCAGUACUCAUAAAUAUCUAUGUGAGAAGUCUGACUCGGAGAUUGGUACUUAGACUAAUUAUAGUCUAGUAUUGUUAAUUCAAGAACACAGUACUGGACUACUGGUUUUUGUUAAUUGGGGUAUUUUUGGAUUACAUCUGCUAAAUCUAUCAAUUCAGAAAUAAAUUCAGACGCUCAUAUGAGUUCUUUUACAAUAACGUUGGGAGGAAAGGGAACACACGAAUCGAUGAUAUGAAUGAACAAAGUGAACAUAUUGCUAACAGUUAUGACAAGCACCUAGAGUUAACCAUCAAACACAAGUUUGUAAUGUACAUAUUGACAUUGUUUCUCAUAAAAAGUCAUUGGAGAUGGUUAUAUGUAUGAGUGCUUUCAAUUGAAAUAAAUGAAAAAUUUUGAAGUAAUUCAA